UACAGAGGGUGCGAGCGGUGUCCGGAAUCACUGGGCGUAAAGGGCGCGUAGGUGGCGGGAUAAGCGUGUGGUGAAAGCCCGGGGCUCAACCCCGGGUCUGCCAUGCGAACUGUCUUGCUUGAGCAUAGUAGAGGCAGGUGGAAUUCCGGGUGUAGCGGUGGAAUGCGUAGAGAUCCGGAAGAACACCGGUGGCGAAGGCGGCCUGCUGGGCUAUUGCUGACACUGAGGCGCGACAGCGUGGGGAGCAAACAGG
rnacentral:rRNA from 1 species